GGAGCGAUGGGUGAGUUGGCUUAAACCACGCCCUUGCUAAGGGCGCGAAGGGGAGACUCUUCCGAGGGUUCGAAUCCCUCUCGCUCCG
rnacentral:tRNA from 1 species